GACGAACGCUGGCGGCGUGCUUAACACAUGCAAGUCGAACGAUGAAACCUAGCUUGCUAGGUCGAUUAGUGGCGAACGGGUGAGUAACACGUGACUAACCUGUCCCUUUCUCUGGGAUAACGCUCCGAAAGGAGUGCUAAUACCGGAUACUCACAUCGAGGCACAUGCCUUGGUGUGGAAAGUUUUUCGGAAAGGGAUGGAGUCGCGGCCUAUCAGCUUGUUGGUGAGGUAACGGCUCACCAAGGCGACGACGGGUAGCCGGCCUGAGAGGGCGACCGGCCACACGGGGACUGAGACACGGCCCAGACUCCUACGGGAGGCAGCAGUAGGGAAUACUGCACAAUGGGCGCAAGCCUGAUGCAGCGACGCCGCGUGAGGGAUGAAGGUCUUCGGAUUGUAAACCUCUUUCAGUAGGGACGAAGCGAAAGUGACGGUGCCUAAAGAAGAAGCACCGGCUAACUACGUGCCAGCCGCCGCCGUAA
rnacentral:rRNA from 1 species